GCUCCUGUGGCGAAAGGGAAAACGCGACUAGCUCAAACCUAGUUUUUAUUGUGAGUUCGAGUCUCACCAGGAGUACCA
rnacentral:tRNA from 1 species